UGAGGAAUAUUGGACAAUGGGUGGAAGCCUGAUCCAGCCAUCCCGCGUGUAGGACGACUGCCUUAUGGGUUGUAAACUACUUUUAUCUGGGGAUAAACCUACUCACGUGUGAGUAGCUGAAGGUACCAGAAGAAUAAGCACCGGCUAACUCCGUGCCAGCAGCCGCGGUAAUACGGAGGGUGCAAGCGUUAUCCGGAUUUAUUGGGUUUAAAGGGUCCGUAGGCGGAUUAAUCAGUCAGUGGUGAAAGCCCGCAGCUUAACUGUGGAACUGCCAUUGAUACUGUUAGUCUUGAGUGAUGUUGAAGUGGCUGGAAUGUGUAGUGUAGCGGUGAAAUGCUUAGAUAUUACGCAGAACACCAAUUGCGAAGGCAGGUCGCUAAGUAUCAACUGACGCUGAUGGACGAAAGCGUGGGGAGCGAACA
rnacentral:rRNA from 1 species